UGUUUAUUUACUGCAUGUAUAUAAUACAAUUGUGUAAGAUAAUUAUUUUAUAAUAUGGCUAUAGGUACCCCCAUACAUAAACAAAACUAUAUGACUAUAUAACAAUGUUCAUUUUUUUAUAAGAAUUUUGAUAUCAAAUUUCAACGAAAAUCAUAAAUAUUACGGCCUUUCAAAACAUGUACAACCGAAUUUCGCUCAGAAUUGUUUUUCGUUAGCAGUGAUUAAUCGUUGCGCUAGGUAUACAGGGAAAUUCUCCUCUAUAUCCUACUUUCUUAUCUUUUCAUUUACAACAGUACCCCACCCAUCGUGUGAAGAUGUC